rnacentral:rRNA from 1 species
UACGGGGGUGGCAAGCGUUGUUCGGAAUUACUGGGCGUAAAGGGCGCGUAGGCGGCCUUCUAAGUCGGACGUGAAAUCCCUCGGCUCAACCGAGGAACUGCGUCUGAUACUGGAAGGCUUGAAUCCGGGAGAGGGAUGUGGAAUUCCAGGUGUAGCGGUGAAAUGCGCAGAUAUCAGGAAGAACACCCGUGGCGAAGGCGGUUCUCUGGGACGGUACUGACGCUGAGACGCGAAAGCGUGGGGAGCGAACAGG